GGCACCGUAUGGCCAUGCGGGGCCGGUCCCACUUAGAAGCGCGGAGGGGUAUAGAGUUGUGCGGGGCUGGUCCCGACAUCGCGCGGGGAUCCAAAAUUUCUGCAGUGACCGACUCUUUCAAGUGCCAAAUGGCCU